AACAAGAGAAAAAGGUCUUCCCUUCAAGAUGAUUGACACUCAAGAUUUAUAUUUGUAAUGUAAAAAAAACAAGGAAGGAAGGAAAGCAGAGCCCCUCUCUGCCUGCAGCUCCCCCCCGCGGCGGAAUCGCAGAGCAAACACACGCACCAACCAGCACCACCACACAAAGGUGUGCAGAAUCAGAGAAAAAAAAGUAGUAAAUUACUUUAAAUCAAAAAAAAAAAAAAAAAAAGAGAACGACACACAGAAAAUCGAGAGGAGGAAUGAGAAGAAAAUAAAAAAAAUGCUGCCUACUUCCUCUCUCCUCGCUCAACACAAGAAGGGUUUUUCUUCAACACUUUAAAAAUAUUAGGUUUUCAAUUUUCAUUUUCGUUAAAACAUAUUUCAUGUUUUUAUUGCAACACUUUUUUUCUCACAGCAGAAAAAAAAACCCCAAAAAACUACUUAUUUUUUUCUAAUAAGGAAAAAUUCGAAGAAGGCGAAUUGGGCGAAAAAAAAGUAAAGAAGAAAUAUACAAAAAAAAAAAAAAAAAAAAACUCUGAUUUGAGUUGGGAUGAAGAAAAAAAAACCACAGCCCGCCCGCAAAUGUGUAUUGCAAUUUUUAUGUACACUGCGAUUUAACACAAAUCGACAAUACAACGGAUUUAAAACAAAUCAGAGAUAUUUUCGCGUUUUUCCAAAAAGGUGGCGAGAGCUCUAUUCACACACGAACAAUCUAUACAACCCGGUCGCCAUGUUUUGUCAAAAAAAAAAAAAUUGGAAUUGAAUUUGUGUGAUAUGUCAAGAAUUUUUUCCAUAUAGAUAUAUAUAUCUAGUUUCUUCUUUUGA